CUUUGUGUUGGUGAUGGGGCUCACCAUAAUGCAUUACAGAUGCUAAUGGCUCCUGCUUUAAU
rnacentral:ncRNA from 2 species